UGGGGAAUAUUGCACAAUGGGGGAAACCCUGAUGCAGCGACGCCGCGUGAGCGAUGAAGUAUUUCGGUAUGUAAAGCUCUAUCAGCAGGGAAGAAAAUGACGGUACCUGACUAAGAAGCCCCGGCUAACUACGUGCCAGCAGCCGCGGUAAUACGUAGGGGGCAAGCGUUAUCCGGAUUUACUGGGUGUAAAGGGAGCGUAGACGGUUUUGCAAGCCAGAUGUGAAAACCCGGGGCUCAACCCCGGGAGUGCAUUUGGAACUGUAUGACUAGAGUGUCGGAGAGGCAAGUGGAAUUCCUAGUGUAGCGGUGAAAUGCGUAGAUAUUAGGAGGAACACCAGUGGCGAAGGCGGCUUGCUGGACGAUGACUGACGUUGAGGCUCGAAAGCGUGGGGAGCAAACAGG
rnacentral:rRNA from 1 species